GAAUGAGAUAAAGAGAGCAGUGAAUGAGAUGAAGAGAGCAGUGAGAUAAAGAGAACAAUGGUCUAAAAUAAAAUGAACUACUAACACAUACAAUUUCUUUUAGUUAUUUUUGAUCAUGUCAAAAACUACAAAAUAUUUCUUGAAACUUCUGCUUGUAAGUAAAAUCCAAUGAAAUUCAAAUCUAAUGAAUAAAACUCAAGAACAAUUUUUAAAUAUGGAAUACAUUAUAAUCAUUAUAUAAAAAAUUUCAACCAGUAAUAUAUUGUUUCAUUAUUUAGUAACUAAAAGUUAGUUCUUAAACAAAAAACAAGGAUAGUAAAAAUCAGCAGCAGUUUAUACAUUCAAUGCAAUCCUCUUGAGUACAACUGUUAUCAGUAUAUUUUUAUCUAUAGUAUAUUGAUAGCCUGAGUAAAACUUAAACAAAAUUUGUUAUAAAGUGACCAAUGACCAAUUGAGUCACACCAUAAAAACAUAACAUUAAUCUAGCAUUGUGAAAACAUUUUCACAGCUCUAGCAUAAUAGUUACAGCAUUCAAACUAAACAAUGUAGCAACUCCUUCAGUUCAGGUCAUCCAGUAAUUAAAGAACUAAAUAAUGUAGCAACUCCUUCAGUUCAGGUCAUCCAGUAAUUAAAGAACUAAAUAAUGUAGCAACUUGUUCAGUUCAGGUCAUCCAGUAAUUAAAGAACUAAAUAAUGUAGCAACUUGUUCAGUUCAGGUCAUCCAGUAAUUAAAGAACUAAAUAAUGUAGCAACUUGUUCAGUUCAGGUCAUCCAGUAAUUAAAGAACUAAAAAGUGUUUUAAGAAAGAAAGUUAUAUUUGUUCAACAUCAAAAAACAAAGUCAUUUAAUAUCAAAACAUGUACCCCAACAAAG
rnacentral:sRNA from 1 species